AAAGCCGCCUGGUAUACCAUUGAUUCCAGAGUCCGAGGUACAUCUCUGGUGGUAAAAGGCCUCAAAGAGAAUGUAGAAUACCAUUUCCGUGUUUCAGCAGAAAACCAGUUUGGCAUAAGCAAACCCUUGAAAUCUGAGGAACCAGUCACACCAAAAACACCAUUGAGUAAGUGCCCUUUCAACCACAAAAUUAUAAACAUUAUUUCAGCACUUUUCUGUUUUUAAAUGAAAGUCAUUGGCUUAUAAUACUUGGGACUGUAUUCUAAUACAUGUGUGCUUUCCACUUAUAUUUACAGAUCCU
rnacentral:lncRNA from 1 species